rnacentral:lncRNA from 1 species
UCCCCUGCUUUCUCUGUGAGCUUUUCUUAGUGAACCAGCUAUCAGAAUCUCCUGCCCAGGGGUCCUGCUGUCCGUUAUUAUAUCACCGCCCCUGCCAUCCUGCCUUUACAGCAGCCCUUGGAGAGGAAUCUUAAUGUGUGCUGAAGACAGCAGCAGGAGUAGGAGGGGGCAAGGAGAGACAAGAACUCGGGUUUCUGGGCAGGUGAAGGGGGCCUGCACUGUAUUGUCUUAAACUUCAGAGAGACAGUUUCAGGAACCUUGUAUUUAUUUAUUCCUUAUUUCCAGCAAAGGAAUGAAGCAUGCCGGGCCUCAUCUCGGACCUGCACACUGCCCCUCAUUAUGUUCAUGAUCGGGAAAUGGAUAAAGAGUGGCCAGAAGGUGAAAAAGAAGAGAUGGCCCCCUGAAAGGGACAUCCACAUUUAUUUGAGCACCUACCAGCAAAGUGCUGGGCACACAGAAGGACAACGUGAUGAAGCGCCAUCACAUGGCUGGUAGCCUGUGGUGAGUCACCGGACUUCUCGACUCCCACCUCACUAGGGUGGAAGGAACAGUAACCACAACGCUCUGCAACUCGGGCUGCGCCCGCAUGAUUGGAAACAAUCUGUGAAAUUGUGGAGUGAACAACCCCGAAGAAAUAGACUUCUAAUUCUAGCCUUUUGGAGAUUAUUAACCCAACUCCCAGAUUCUACAGAUGAGAAAAGGGAGGCCCAGGGAGGUGGAGAAACAUGUGUAGGAUCACAGAGAUGCCUUCAGCUCUCCAAAACAACAGAAAUGAUCAAAGAUGGAGGCAAGAAGACCAGAGAACCCUAAAUGUUUACUGUCUCCAGUGUGUUUGGAAACAGCUUGGACCAGUGUAGAGUGCUGGAACAGAGAGUCAAGAGCAUCAGGCGCGCCACCCAGAUAGCAUCUGAAAGAUUGUAAACAGGAUGAUUCACAAACUGGUGGCAGCAGCUAAAAGCAGUGCAGUUCGCGACCCUCAGCACACGCCAAGAUUCUAAAUGGGAUGUUGCGACAACAAAGCAGCCUGAAGAUUCUAAAACAUAAUGGUGUCACCAGGACAUUCACAGGGUGCUGUAACCUGUAACUGACAAGCAUACUCAUCAUCAUUUCUCCUUGGGCAUGCUGCAUCCUUGCGCUCCACUGGGCCUCCUGUUGCAUUGCUAUUUAUUUGCAUCUACAAGCAGGGGAGCAAGUAUGCUGCGGAAAUAGCCCCAGAGAGGUGUCUGAUUCCCAUAGGCCCUUGCAGCCAGCUACAACUGAAUGAUUUCCGAUAUCAGUUACUGAAAAUUCUGACCAUGAUAUGCAGACCAUGGCAGAUCUUAAUGACAAUAACAUCAUCUCACAUUUUGAUGGCGUUUAACAGUUUACAAAGUGCUUUCACAUACAUUAUCACAUUUAAUCCCAGUGAGGUCGAUAGUCUUCUUCUCCAUUUUAUUGGCAGCUUGGUGUAGUGGAAAGAGCUGUGGAAUCAGACAGACUUAAGUUCAGAUUCUGCCUCUGACUACCAAACCAUGGACAAUUUGCUUCAUUUCUCUCCCUUUUCUUACCUAUAGGAUGAGGAAUCAUUUCUAUUUCCGAGGUUUGUGGUGAAAAUUAAAUAACAUAUGUAAAGACAUACAAUAUAGGGCCCGAUGCAUAGAAGUACUCGAUAACCAUUAGUUUCUGUCCACUUACAGAGGAAGAAAAUGAAGCUUAAGAGGUUAAGGGAGUUGCUCAAAGUAAUAGCUAGUAAAUGGCAGAACUGAGACUUCAUUUAUUUUACAAAUAUUAUUGAACACCUACUAUAUGCUGGUGCCUUGGGCAUAGGAAAGUGGAUGAGUCAUAAUUCUAGUUUUUGAGAUGUUCACAGUAGAGCGGUGGAAUCUGAAAUGCAAAUAAUCAAUUAUAAUCGAGCGUAAUCUGAGAGGCAAAAAGUACUUAGGGAAUAUCCUAAAGCCAUGGGUGCACCCUAGAGUAUCUACACAAGAGAUAAGUCUGAGGAAGAGGAACCUUCCAGGAGGCAGCAGUAGAGUUACACCUGAAAUAAAAUGUUGGCAGGUGGAUGAGGGUGAGCAAGGAGAGGAGCAUUCAGGCGAAGACAACAGUGUGUGCAUUCAUCAGGAGGGUCAAAGGAGCCUGGCAUGUCCACUGCAGCACAGAAGAGAACCUGAGCAGACAGGAGAGAGAAGGGAGAGGAGGAGGCAAGGAAGCAGGAGUGAGAAGAAUGAAGGGGCUUGCAGGUAAUGCUGAGAAGCGUGCAUCUUUGUCAGUCCACACUGGCACAAACUCUGUGAUGAUUUACAGAGAGAGCCAACCUGGUCAGAUUUGCAUUUUUGAAAUUGUGGCAGCAAUGUGAAAGAUUGACUAGAGGAGGGGAUAAUGGAGGCAGUAGUUCAAUGAGAGAUAAUUAGGCUAUGAACUAAGAAAGUGGCAGAGCAGACAAUUUCAAGCGGUAUAGCAGAGGCAGAAUUGACAGGAUGUGGCCAUUAACUGGAUGUCAAGACAGGAGAGACAGAGAGAACUCUAGGAGGACUCCCAGGCUAUGAGCUUUGGUGGCUGGGCGAACGAAGAUGUCCCCCACUGACGUAGAAGGAGAGGACAUUUGAAGAGAUGAUAAUAAAUUCAUGUGGACAUGUUGACUCUGAGAGACUCAUGGAUAUCAAGAAGGAGGUGUUCAGUAGACAGCUAAAAAUAUGAGUCUGGAGUUUGGGAGAGGACUCACAAUUAGAUGCAUUGAUCUAGGGAUCAAUGGUUUUUAGACAAUGGUUGAAGCUGUUUUUUUAUGCCAAGAGGAUAGAGCAAGAAGAAAAGUGGGUCCUGGAGAACUCUAGGGAAUAUCAAUGUUUAGGUGCUAGAAUGAGGAUUGUUGGAGAGAUGGAACUACCAGGAGAAAGGGAGAGCUCAGAGGCCAGGGAAGGCAAGCAUUUUUUGAUGAUGAAAGUAGAGGAAAGUAUCAAAUUCCACCAAAGGAUCAAAGAAGAUGAGAACUGAGAUAUGCCUGGCAUUUGGGCAAUGAUAAGAUCACUUUGGCAACUUCAGUUUUAGACAAAGUGGUUAAAAAAGAGGCUUUUUUUUUUCUAUGACCCAAUAUAAGAAAAAUAUUUUAGGCCAGACAUGAUGGCUCACACCUGUAAUCCCAACACUUUGGGAGGCCUAGGCAGGUGGAUCACCUGAGGUCAGGAGUUUGAUACCAGCCUGGCCAAUGUGGUGAAACCCCGUUUCUACUAAUAAUACAAAAUUUAGCCAGGCAUGGUGGCAUGUGCCUGUAGUCCCAGCUACCCAGGAGCCUGAGGGAGGAGAAUCGCUUGAACCUGGGAGGCAGAGGCUGCAGUGAACUGAGAUUGCACCACUGCACUCCAGCCUAGGCAAUAGAGUGAGACUCCAUGAAAGAAAGAAAGAGAGAGAGAGAGAGAAAAGAAAAGAAAGGAAAGAAAAGAAAGGAGGGAGGGAAGGAGGGAGGGGAAAGAAGGAAGGAAGGAAGGAAGGAAGGAAGGAAGGAAGGAAGGAAGGAAGGAAGGAAGGAAAGAAAGAAAAAUAUAUUUUACAUUGUGACCUGAGAAAAACUUUCAAGAAACAAUACUUACACUCUGACAUGUCAUGACGUGUCACACGCCACCUGUUCUGUUCUAUUCUAUUCUAUUCUAUUCUAUUCUAUUCUAUUCUAUUCUAUUCUAUUCUAUUGCAUUCUAUUGCAUUCUGUUCCAUUCCAUCCCAUUCUAUUCAAAUGCUGCUUGGCCCUCACUAAAUUGAUUUUAUGACCAACUAGUGAGUUUCAACCUGCAGUUUGAAAAAACAGUAGUUUAGACAAAUACAGUUUUCUCACACAAAAAUUAUAUGGAGCAAAGUGUGGGAUAGAAGAAAGAACAUUGGAUUUUGAGUGAAGACACCUGAUUUUCAGCAUGACUCAUUUACUUACUGACUGUGUGACCUUAGAUGUGCCCAUUAACCUUUGUGUGUCUCUUCUAUUACCUGUAAAAUUCAGAUAAUAGAUCAGCUGCAAAGGGAUCUUCUGGGGAUCAAAUGAGAUAAAAUGCAUGAAUGCAAAAAGCAUAAGCCUAAAAUAGUCCUGGUCAAAGUAAAAUUACCAUAAUCAAAGAAAGAGCAGAAUGGUGCAUGGUGUAUCCCAGUUGGCUCUGGGUCUGUCAUCUGAAUCCUAGAGCCACAUCUCUCCAGAACAUACUGAGAACCAGAAAUGGGAUCAAAAUAAUUUAACCAAUCAAAACAGGUGUUGCUGCUAUAUUUAUAAAAUUCACAAAAUUUACUGACACAGAAGCCCGUGUGAAAUCCCAUCAGAAUCAUUGUAGUCUUGUUCUAAUACUAUUGUAGCCAUGUUGAUUUUCUGAUCUAUAUCUAUGGACCUGUAUCAGAAGGACAUUCAAUAAAAUCCUAUUGGAAGAGGAGCUGAUAGAGGCAAGUAUUUUCGCUACAGUGUGACAUGACAGCAAACAGACUGCAGGGAAACAGCAAGAUGAAAUCAUUUAAUAUAGGCAAUAUGUAAACUUCAGCAGACCCUGGUGAUAUCACUGUAUUAAGGUAUAAUACAAUAACUGAUUUUUAUGGUUCAUUCAACAAACUACUGUGUUUGAGUACUCAAUAUAUGUACUAAUCUAGGUGCAAGGAAGACACAGAUAAACUGGGGAUGUUUCCUAACCCUAAAAAGUGAGCACACAGAUGAGUGAGACAGACACAUACACAGAUAAUUUCCACUAACAUGGUACAGUGAAGAAAAAUAUGCAUCUGAGCAUGAUAUGAUAUUAAUAUGUCAUGAGAGAAAAGAAGAAGAGCAGCUAGCCCAAAGUGGAAGUGGAAUUCAGGUAAUGCUUCUUGAAGGUCAUUUGCCCAAGAUGAGUCUUGAUGAAGAUAAAGAAAGAUGGGGAAACAAUUCAGAAUGAUGGAAUAGCCUGAGAAAGGCAUGAAAGUAUGAAACCUUGCAUAGUGUAGAUAAUAUUUCUAGAUCAUAAAAAAGACAAGUACAGGCUAUACUUAAGAGGUAGGUAUGGUCCUCAAUACUGAGAGUCUUCUAUACCAGGUUAAGAUGUGUAGAGGACAUCACAUUGACCAGAGGAAGCCACUAAUAGGGAUUGAUUACUCUGGAAGCCUUAUGGAGGAGGAAUUUAAAAAUGGAUUAGGCACGUAAGUUAGGGAACAAUUGCAGUGGUUCAGGAGAGACAUAUUGAGGGUAUGAAGGAGAGAAGCAGUAAUAUGGAUGAAGAAGAGGGGUUAUAUUUGAAAAAUAUUUUUGAUACUAUAUUUAGAUGUGAAGGCUGAGGCCAGGUAAUAAAUGCUCCACUUCAGGGACAAAAACAUGACCUAGACUCCCCAAUAGUAUUCACUUUCUUGAGUUCAUGAUUGAGUCUAGAGAAAUUAAUACAUCUCUACAAGGCAUUAUAGUAUGAGGUAGAAGAUGCUAAGUGUUGAAAGAAAGGCACAGACAUAUGGUUAUGGGAGUUAGAGGAAAGAGGCAUAAAUUCCAACUGAGAGUUUUAGGGAAGUCUUCCUGGAAGAAGAGGCAUGCAAGGCAGAUCUUGAAAGAUGGUUAAGAUUUUGCCAUGAGUUGAUGAGAAGAAAGUGCAUUUCUGAUAAAGGAAUAAUCUGAGAAGACAUAGGAUGAAAGAUGGUGUCAUUUUGAGCUAAAAACACAGGCUCUGGAGUCACACAAAGUUGGGACCAAACUUUGGCUCUGUCACAUUCUAAUCACAAAAUUGGGGAUAAUUUAAUUGACACUUCAGAGCCUCGGCUCCUCAUUUGUACGACAGUUAUGACUAUCAUUUAUCUUAUGGGAUUAUUGUGAGGAUUUUUUCCUAUUAAACUUGAUUUAUUGAUUACAAUGAAAUUGACUUACCUCCGAGUUUUAUACUUUCAUGUGUUUUUGUAUCACUAAUUUUUUAUUCAGCUUGGAGCAUUCUCUUUAGCAUUUCUUGUAAGACAGGUCUAAUGGUGAUGAACUCCCACAGCUUUUGUUUGUCUGAAAAAGUCCUUAUCUCUCCUUCAUUUCUGAAUGACUACCUUGCCAGAUAUAGUAUUCUUUGUUGGCUGUUGUUGUUGUUGUUUACCUUUAGUACUUUUUUUUCCUUCUCCUCUUUUAGGGAAUUUAUUUUAAACCUAUUAUACUACACAAUAUGUUUUAAACACUGACAUAUAACUUCCUAAUAAGAUAGAGCUAAGAUAGAGCAAAGACAAAAAAAGUUUAUCUUAUUGGAAACAAGAUACAGCAUCAUUUAUAGUCAUUGUCAAACAUUACUGCACUUUAACUUUCAUAAUUUGACAAAGCAUUCAUGAAACAAUCUGC